GGGAUAAUGGCCAAGCGGAUGAAGGCAACGCUCUCAUAAAGCGUAGAUCGUGAGUUCAAAUCUCACUUAUCCCA
rnacentral:tRNA from 1 species